rnacentral:rRNA from 1 species
AGAAUCAACGCUGGCGGCGUGCCUAACACAUGCAAGUCGAACGAGAAAGGGGAGCAAUCCCUGAGUACAGUGGCGACCGGGUGAGUAACACGUGACCAAUCUACCUUCGAGUGGGGGAUAACUCCGGGAAACCGGGGCUAAUACCGCAUAAUAUCUUUGGAAUGCAAAUUCCGUUGAUCAAAGGAGCAAUUCGCUUGAAGAGGAGGUCGCGGCUGAUUAGCUAGUUGGCGGGGUAAUGGCCCACCAAGGCGAAGAUCGGUA